rnacentral:lncRNA from 1 species
CUUGAUAUGUGUGGCAUGGGCUCCUUCAGGUGCUAGUGGAUUCCUUAGGAUGGUGGUGUUGGCAUGAAAGGCAGGCUUGUAUCAUGAGGAAUGAUUGUCAUCUUGUCUGAUUCUUGGAGAUGGCAGGAAGCCCCUGGAAACACAUGGUGUGGACUCUUUCACAGGCUGUUGAAACCCUCCUGAAUGUGAGGCCAGAGACAGGCAGACAGCAGAUGUAUUGCAGGGAGCUGGAUGACAUGGCCCUUGGAACCUGUGCACAUGCCUGCCUUUCUGAUGCACGUCCAUGUUUUCUCUGCACCUCCCCGGUGGUGUUGGUAUAAAAAGCAGGCUUACAUCAGCAAGGGAUGAUUGUCGUCUCAUGCGAUCCUGGGAGAUGGCAGAAGUCCCGGGACACAUGGAGUGUGGGCUCUUUCGGAGGCUGUUGGAUCCCUCCUGAAUGUGUUGUGGCCAUGGAAGUAAGGCCAGUGGCUACGAGGGACAGUCUUCAUCUUGGGAGAUCCCUAGAGAGGGCAGGGAGCCCCUUGACAUGUGGAAUGUGAUCUCUGUUGGGUGCUGGUGGAUCCCACAGGUGGUCUGGCAUGGAAGAAGGCCAGAGGCUGCGAUGGAUCAUCUUUGUCUUGGGAGAUUCCUGGAGAUGGUGGGGAGCCCCUGGGCACGUGCAGCAUAUGUGGCGUGGGCUUCUUCAGGUGCUGGUGGAUCCCUCAGGAUGCUUUUCAAGGUUUUUCUAUGAGUUCUGUUAAAGAGUCUGAAAAUGGAGCGUAGAAGACAUGCUUCGAUUUCCAGGAUGGUUGUGUUUUCCAGAGAGGCGGAGUUCAUUGUGGAACCAGCACAGAUUUUCAUACGAAAGUUAUUUCUUUUUAACCUCAAAAAGUGACAGAAUGGAGUGUAUCAUGAAAAAGUCUGACAUCAAAACCUCAAAAUGUGAUAUUGAUUGGGUGAGAUAGAAUUCCAUGGAAUUUCAUUGCCAAACCAGUGAAGUGCUAAUUUUGACAUUUGUACCAGCUAACGUAGCUGUGAAGAAACACACCAAUACACUUCUAAGGACAGCAUAGACCAAGAUCUAGGUUUCAUAUGGAUGAAUUUAUUCUUCCCUUUGAGGCAAGACAAGAAGGAAAGAAAGUAUUGGGAAUAAUGCUGCCCUCCCAUCCUCAAGGGCCAGUGGGAACUCUAAUAUUGAUUGGUUUUCACAGAAUUCCAUGGACUUUAACUGCUGAACCAAUGAUGCACUGAUUUUGUCACUUGUACCAGCUAACGCAUCUGGGAGGCAACAAAACAAUACUCUCCUGAGGUUAAUGUGGACCAAAAACUAGAUUUCAUAUAAAAGAGUUUAUUCCUUCUACUUGAGGUGUGACAUGAAGGAAAGUAAUGGAAAUAAUUCUGCCCUCCCAUUCUCAAGGGCCAGGGGGAAUUCAAAUAUUGAACGGAAGUGAUUUUGGAAUUGCAUGGAAUUCUCACUGCCAUCCCAAAGAAAUGCUGAUCUUGUCACUCUUACCUGUUUCAUUCCCUGGGGGCAGAACAAAAGGACGCACUCCAAAGAUCGGCAUGAACCAAGAACUGGGUUUCAUAUAAAAUAUUUUAUUCUGUCCUCUUGAGAUGUGACAUGAGAAAAGUAUUGAGAAUACUUCUAUCACCUCAUCUUCAAGAAUCCGUAGGAAUUCUCCCAUGGUGGACUUUACGGUUAACCUGAACAGGUCUUGGAAAAAGGACUUUAAACAUUCUCCUGUUCUGUGGAAUAAGUAUACUUUUUUCUGGACAUACACCUUGUCAGUGAGUUCCAUGUGAUACUAGAGUUGCAUAGAUUUUUAACCUUUACGCCAAUGAAGAUCUGAGGCAAACAUUGCCCCUUUUUUAGAAGUUUGCAUUUGUCACUGAUAACUGUAAUAAUUGAUCUUGUUGAAAAGCCUGGGAAAUGAAGAUCUGAUAUGUCACUUUUACCGGCUUCCUCAACUGAAAAAGAAUACAAUGAAACACGCUGAGAAUUUUUGUGCUUUCUCAGUCUUGCUGAUGAUCUUUCUAUGGGCCUGAAGCGUGGAGAGUGCCAGAGAGGCUGAUCCUCAGCAGUGUGGCAGAGGAAAGUUGGGUGCGACUAAGGGGUAUGCGGUGCCCACAUGCCACUGGGUCCUCAGCAGUACCACCUGGUCAACAAAGACAAGGCACCUAGCCCCACAUGAAACUUUAUUCCUUUCCCUUUUGAGAUGUGACAUGAAA